rnacentral:rRNA from 1 species
GAUGAACGCUGGCGGCGUGCCUAAUACAUGCAAGUCGAGCGAACGGACGAGAAGCUUGCUUCUCUGAUGUUAGCGGCGGACGGGUGAGCAACACGUGGAUAACCUACCUAUAAGACUGGGAUAACUUCGGGAAACCGGAGCUAAUACCGGAUAAUAUUUUGAACCGCAUGGUUCAAAAGUGAAAGACGGUCUUGCUGUCACUUAUAGAUGGAUCCGCGCUGCAUUAGCUAGUUGGUAAGGUAACGGCUUACCAAGGCAACGAUGCAUAGCCGACCUGAGGGGGUGAUCGGCCACACUGGAACUGAGACACGGUCCAGACUCCUACGGGAGGCAGCAGUAGGGAAUCUUCCGCAAUGGGCGAAAGCCUGACGGAGCAACGCCGCGUGAGUGAUGAAGGUCUUCGGAUCGUAAAACUCUGUUAUUAGGGAAGAACAUAUGUGUAAGUAACUGUGCACAUCUUGACGGUACCUAAUCAGAAAGCCACGGCUAACUACGUG